CACUGCCUUCAGAGCCUCCACUCCUGCUGUCCGGCUUCAAUUCUACCUCACCAUUCCUGGGGAACAGCUAGAAAUAUCCUUGUGCCCACAUUGAAGAACAGAGAGUGUUUAAAAAUCACUUGCCCUGGAACUACAGUCAAGAUGAUGUUCAGAAAGGCAGACAGACAGGGAAUGGGGCUUGAUACCAAACAUGGCAUUGACAUAGCUUCAUAUAACACUGAGGUACACAGGCACAGCGGCAUGAGUGUCCUACAGUUCAGAGUCCGGAUGUGUACACCAAAUAGGAGCAUGAGUCCACGAUGUCUCCUUGUUGCCAGUGAGGACAACUGGUGUACCACGUGGCAACUCGAAUGGGAUGCAGUUGGCUGUUCUGGUUGUCUGUUGGCCUUGUUGCACCAUGCAGCUGCCAGUUCUACUGUGAAUUUUGACAGGUCAUUUAAGACAGUUCUAUAAUGUAGAAUGCAGUGCAGAGUGCCAUUUGUGAGCAUGACUGAGGCAGGCAUGCAUGUUGCACUUAUGGAUCAAUUGAGAGUGCUCAACUCUGCCCAGGUUACUUCUAUCUAUCUGUAAAUCAGGGAAUAACACAUUCCUGCUUGUGGAUGAAGAGAAAUAUGUUAAAAAUCUGAGAGACAGUGAACAUUCAGUAUUACCAUGGAGAAAUACACUCCCAUAUACUCCCAACUCUACUGACUCCGACACAGGUUUUCAGGUACUUAUUGUUCUGCUUGGAAUGAGAUGCAAAAGUUGCACAACAGAUACCCAGAAGACGGAUUUUCCAAUGAAGGAGAAGACACUAAAGCUGCUGGGGAUCCUUGCUCGCUUGGGACCUGCAUGCUGAGUGCUGACCUGCACUGGGUGCUGCUGUCAGAUCCACUGCAAGAAGAAGAGAUGAGCUGCUGGUCCCAGCCUAGUGCCCAGCCUAGUAAGGAGCUAAUCCUUCCCAGGCACAGGUACUGGGCUUCAACAUAUAAAGGAUUGUCCAAAGGAUUGCAGAGGGAAGAUAAGCAUUGUCUCACUGGGACCAUAGCAAAUAAAACUUUUGUCUGAUCUC
rnacentral:lncRNA from 7 species